rnacentral:lncRNA from 1 species
AUGAUAUGCAAUAUAUAUGUAUUUCACUAUUAAUUGUCACUUAAACUAAUAAAUGUCUGUUUAUUAAUAAUAAAUAAAUUAAGUACCUAGGAAUAUGUACGUUGUGUUUAUUUAGUAAAUUAAAUACAAGAAUAAUCAUAAGUUUUAUUAUUAGAAUGUUAUACUGCAGAAGUACUCUUAUCCUAUUUCAUGGUUUGUUACCGAAUAUGAAACUACGUCAUUAAUCGUUCUCUCGUAGAAAAUCAAGGAAAUCGUUAUUUUAUUUGCUGUCCUACGAUAUAGAUUUUAUUUAAUAUAAAAAACAUGUGGCCAUUUUUACUUUCGAUAUUUGCGCUGUUUCACUUAGCUUCAGCAUCAGGUAGUUUUGAUUUUGGUGACACAUUAGCAUUAAUUUUGGGUCUUAUUAUUGGAAUUAUGGGAUUUUUUGCUUGUAUGGGGGCCUACGCAAGACGACGAAAUCAAUUUGAAUCUUUGUGAUCAUGGAAAAUGUAUUUCAAUAAAAUUCAUGGGAUAUAAGAAAUAUUUAAAACUAUAGAGGAGUCUAGAUUAAAAAUGCUUAAAAGGAGCAUCGUAUUGAAUUUAUACGUAUAUAUUAAAACAAAUGUCAAGAAAAUAUUAAAAAUUAUAUAAUAUUAUCUGCCUAAUUAUUUUAUAUUAUUGAAAAAUCAAUCUUUGAAAUAACACUAACUGUAGAUAUUCAAUAUAUAAGAAAGCGUAAGAAAUGUUUCUUUUAUAAUCAGUUUCUUUCUUUAUUUAUUUAUUUUCCUUCAUCAAGGUUACAACUGCUUUGACUUUGAUCCUUUAGCACGCAAAUAUUAUUCUUAUUUAUCAUAUAUGUGCAAGAGAAUGCACUUAUUAUAUUGUAAUAACUAUUUCUUGUUUCUGUAUUUUCUUUAUUAUAAUACAAACACUAUAUGAGCAUCUAAUAAAAACAGACAUGUUUCAAAUCAAUAGGAAUGCAAUAAAAUAAAAAUAAUUGUCAGUUGUUUCUAUUAUAAAUUUAAAGUAAUAUCGAUAAUUGAAUAGCAUAUUUAACUAUUACCACACGUUACAUAAUAUGAUUUGUAAUUACUAAUGAUCAAAUAUAUACUAUAUUAACAAAUUAAAACUAGAUGAAUAAUAUUGAUGAAAUUAAUGACGCGUUUUUAAUUUUGUCAUAGGUUAUAAUUUCAAAAUAUCAACAUUAUAUAUAUCAGUAAAGAACAUAUGAACUAAAUCACAUUGUUUUUUUUCUUUAAUAUAGAUGUUGUAAUACUAUAAGCUAUAAAUAAAAAGAAAGUAUAAAUUGCAAUCGAUGAAAUUUGCUACAGCUUUUUUAAGAAACAAAAGCUUGUUUGUUCUACACCUUCUAUAUUCAGUUAAAUAUUAUGAUCUAAUUGUGUAAAACAAAAAAUUAUUAUAACUUAAUUAUUUAUUUUCUUAAAUAAUUCAAAAUGCGUUUUCAGAUAUAUUAAAAUGAGAGUAAUAUGUAAGAAGCUUUUUUAAAAUGUAAAAGUAUUAAAAUAUUGCAAUAUUUUUUAAUAUAUCAUACUGUUUUAUCACAAGUAAGAGAUAAAUAUGACAAAAAGGGUCAUCAGUUGCACAUUUUCAAGAUUGGGAAUUUUUAAAUGUGUUUAGAGCAAAGAUUUAUAAAAUUUGAUAUCAACAUAUAACAUAGAUUAAUAAUGAUAAGUAUUUCUUAUCUAAUUUGCAGAAAUCUGGAACUUUCAAAAAGAGUAAGGAAAUAUUUAAAAACACAUUUUCACGCUGUGUAUUUUUCUACAUUUCGCUUUAAUAUUUUUCAUUUAUGAUAUUUUUCUACAUGUGUUCUCACAUUCCUCAUUCUUUUUGGGCUCAUAACUUUUAUGUAUUUUUGGUUUAUUUCCUCACUUAAGAACAACAUGUAAAACUCAAUGCAAUGUCACUGAAAUUAAAUUCACAUAAGUUUAAACUGUAUUCAAUUGAAAAAUGUACUUGUUGCAAUUCUUAUUCUGUCAAUCAUAUGUAAUUCAAUAUUCACAUUCAUCAGUUCAAUUUUUAUAUUUCUAAGAAUUAUGCAUUUUAAACAUAAAAAUAAUGUUCACUCAUAGAUAAUUGAAUAUGUUCAUUACUUCUCCGCAGAUCUACAAUGCAUUACGCUAAUACCAUAAACUAUAAUAUAAACGGAGAUUGAUCCGCCUGUUUUUCACGGAAGAGAAUCAGUAUUUCUUACACCAAGAGAUUACUAACUACUAAUUUUUUGAGUUUCGAAAUGUAUACUCUAAUCGUGUGUAAUAUUAUUACAGUCCAAUAAAUAUACACAUGUAUGUGUAUAAAUGAAAUAAAAAACUAGCAGAAAUGAAAAUAUUUCCAACACUGAUUUCUCAUGUGUGUUUUUUACUCAUUUGCUUACUGAUUCUUGUUUUACCUAAUCAGUCUUUAUGUUUCUAUUCUUGAAAUUCUGAGAAACAUAAUUCUAAAAUUGUUUCUUAAGUUCAUAUACUAGAAAGAAUUCAUAUACUAGUUAGCACAAAAAAAA